GACGAACGCUGGCGGCGUGCUUAACACAUGCAAGUCGAACGGUAAGGCCCUCCGGGGUACACGAGUGGCGAACGGGUGAGUAACACGUGGGUGAUCUGCCCUGCACUUCGGGAUAAGCCGGGGAAACUGGGUCUAAUACCGGAGAGGACCACUGCCUGCAUGGGUGGUGGUGGAAAGCUUUUGCGGUGUGGGAUGGGCCCGCGGCCUAUCAGCUUGUUGGUUGGGUGGUGGCCUACCAAGGCGACGACGGGUAGCCGGACGGAGAGGGUGGCCGGCCAAACUGGGACUGGGAUACGGCCCAGACUCCUACGGGAGGCAGCAGUGGGGAAUAUUGCACAAUGGGCGCAAGCCUGAUGCAGCGACGCCGCGUGAGGGAUGACGGCCUUCGGGUUGUAAACCUCUUUCAGCACCGACGAAGCGCAAGUGACGGUAGGUGCAGAAGAAGGACCGGCCAACUACGUGCCAGCCGCCGCCGUAA
rnacentral:rRNA from 1 species